rnacentral:rRNA from 1 species
GACAGAGGGUGCAAACGUUGUUCGGAUUUACUGGGCGUAAAGCGUGUGUAGGCGGCCUUGUAAGUCCGUUCUGAAAGCCCGGGGCUCAACCCCGGGAGGCGGAUGGAUACUGCAAGGCUCGAGUACGGAAGAGGCGAGUGGAAUUCCCGGUGUAGCGGUGAAAUGCGCAGAUAUCGGGAGGAACACCAAUGGCGAAGGCAGCUCGCUGGGACGUUACUGACGCUGAGACGCGAAAGCGUGGGGAGCAAACAGG